AUUGAACGCUGGCGGCAGGCCUAACACAUGCAAGUCGAGCGGAUGAAGGGAGCUUGCUCCUGGAUUCAGCGGCGGACGGGUGAGUAAUGCCUAGGAAUCUGCCUGGUAGUGGGGGAUAACGUCCGGAAACGGGCGCUAAUACCGCAUACGUCCUGAGGGAGAAAGUGGGGGAUCUUCGGACCUCACGCUAUCAGAUGAGCCUAGGCCGGAUUAGCUAGUUGGUGGGGUAAAGGCCUACCAAGGCGACGAUCCGUAACUGGUCUGAGAGGAUGAUCAGCCACACUGGAACUGAGACACGGUCCAGACUCCUACGGGAGGCAGCAGUAGGGAAUAUUGGGCAAUGGGCGAAAGCCUGAUCCAGCAAUGCCGCGUGUGUGAAGAAGGUCUUCGGAUUGUAAAGCACUUUAAGUUGGGAGGAAGGGCAGUAAGUUAAUACCUUGCUGUUUUGACGGUACCAACAGAAUAAGCACCGGCUAACUUCGUG
rnacentral:rRNA from 1 species